rnacentral:rRNA from 1 species
AGCGAACGCUGGCGGCAGGCUUAACACAUGCAAGUCGAACGCCCCGCAAGGGGAGUGGCAGACGGGUGAGUAACACGUGGGAACGUACCCUUUGGUUCGGAAUAACUUGGGGAAACUCAAGCUAAUACCGGAUAAGCCCUUAUGGGGAAAGGUUUCCUUCCGAAGGAUCGGCCCGCGUCUGAUUAGCUAGGUGGUGAGGUAAUGGCUCACCAAGGCGACGAUCAGUAGCUGGUCUGGGAGGAUGAUCAGCCACACUGGGACUGAGACACGGCCCAGACUCCUGCGGGAGGCAGCAGUGGGGAAUAUUGGACAAUGGGGGCAACCCUGAUCCAGCCAUGCCGCGUGAGUGAUGAAGGCCUUAGGGUUGUAAAGCUCUUUUACCCGGGACGAUAAUGACUGUACCGGGAGAAUAAGCCCCGGCUAACUUCGUGCCAGCAGCCGCCGUAA